rnacentral:misc_RNA from 1 species
UGGACUAAUCAUAAGGAUCUGUGAUUGGUUGUCCCAUGAACAGCUCACCCGAAGGGUUUUGAGGAUUUUUUUUUUUUUUGACAAAAAUGGCUAGUUCACACGAUGGGGCUUAUCCCCUCAACAUCAGUUGCGUCCAGUUGCAGGGACUAGUCGCAGGGACAAUGCCGACCUUUUAAAAGACUUCACAAGGCUACUGCCUAUGUUCACUCACGUGGCCGGCUGCCAUGACGUCAUGUGAAGGCGCUCUAAUAUUCUAAAAGCGCUAGAGAGGGGAAUUUGGGAACGAGCCUGUCCCAGUUGUGCAUUUCCAAGAUGGCGGCCCUCUCAAACACAUUUUCACAUUUGAUCGUAUUUUGUCGUGCAUUACACCACGAUUGUGUUUCAGAAGUGCGAGAAAAAGCCCUGACACCCAGGCUAAUUUUUUUCGACGCAAGAACAGAAAAAAUGGAGGAGCUGGUCACCAUUUUAUGUAAUUUAUUCAUUUAUGUGUAAGCCAUGUAAAGGGUAAUCCCCUGGUCGCUCACCGUGGUUCGCUGCUCGUGAGUGUUUCAGUUAACGCGGAACGCUAUUUUGCUCCACACAAGAGGUCCGCUAAAAUGAGGGUCGAUUACGUCCUACGCGUCUUAGUCUUGCCAUUAAUUUUGGUGUGUGUUUUAUCAGUGAACUGUAUGACAGUUAGCCCCCAGUGUCCAAAUUGCACUGCACAACAUAUUAAAAGGAUCAAUACUAAUACAAAAAGGUGUGUGGAUUGCUGGCCUUGUCCAGUUUGUAAUGAGGGCAGUGGCUCAUCUGUUCCUUGUGAAGCAGUUGUAACUGUUCACAGGAAAAUUCAUUGUGUUUUUUGUGUCCCUGGAACAAAUUUUUCAGACAGUACUGGUACUGACCAGUGCCAGCCUUGUGGGAUGUGUUCAGGCAAGCAUGAAAGUGUCCAUUCAGAAUGCACUCGGGAAAACAAUGUGGUAUGCAAAUGUGAUUUGGGUUUUUUUCGCAAUAAAACCACCCAAGAAUGCCUACCUUGUGCUUCAUGUUGCUCUGGUGAUCAUAACAUCCUAGAACAUUGUCAAAGAGAUGGAGAUGAAAUAAAAAAGAAAUGCAAGUUUGAAGAGCCUUGGCCAUCAAUCUGUUUACCAUCACUAACUGCUGUGGGGACAAUAAAUAGUAUCUCAGUGUCGCAUACGUACCUAUCAAGCUUGGCAACAUCUUCAUCCUUGAUGUCAUUUUCAUAUAAACAUUCCACAGCCACACCAGUGCUUGGUACCGUCACUAAAAUUGCUCCAGCUCCUUCAGAAACAGUAUAUAUAAAAGUCACCUCAGCAAGUUUUCCCAGACCUAACAGACACACCAAGAUAUCAGGAAUUUCAACAGUAAACAAAGACAGUGCCAGGAAGGAAAGCCCUGAUAUAAACAUUGUGAUCCCUUUGCCUAAAACUGCAGUUGUAUUGAUUUCUGUGGUUGUCUUUUUACUGGCAACUUCUGGCUGUGUGGCCUGUAUGUAUUGUAAGUGCAGGUCAUGGCAAACACACAACAAUCCACAUGCUUUGGAAAUGGAAUUUAAUGUGUCAGAGGCUAGAGAUAAUGAAGAAAGAAAGUCGAGUGAACAUUCUGGAGCUGCCCAGCCUCUGAUAGAACUGACUGAACUUCCUCCUGAAGCUACAACUUCACUGUCCUUGAGAACAGAUGAAGGAAUACGCCUGUUGCCUGACAUUCCUACAUCCUUUGAAAAUGAGCCACAAAAUCUUGCUCAGCGGACUAGAAAAUGCUUGGCUUCUGAAGGAGAUGAUAAUUCAGCUGAAUCUGAUUUGGAAGGUCAUCAAUCUCAUUGCCACAUUGAAGAAGGUCAGGAUGGAUUACCAACUACACAAUCAUCAUUGGACAAUGUGUUAGUUUGUUCUGAUCAUAAUGCAGGUCUGCCUUCCUCUCCACCAAACAAACCCUGCUCUUCCAGUAACACUGUCAAUUCUAGUGCCUUGACAGCUGUCAAACCAACUGAGCAGAGAUUCCAACUGUCACCACUUUUAGAGAAAGAUAUGGGUUCAGAAAUGGCAAAUCAGAGGGCAGUUUGUGGCCUUUUAGUUGAACCACCAAUUCAGUCCACUGAAGAUAACAGAAGCUACAAUACUCACAUCAAAGAUGUAUCUGAAUCAGUCAUACAUGAUAUGUGUAUGCUGCUUGAUGUGGAGAGGGAGAUAGAUGGCAAAGAUUAUAAAUUGCUUGCUAGUGAGUUAGAGUUAACACCUGUAAAGAUCAGGUACCUCAAAGAGCUUAAACAGACACAGGGCAAAAGCCCCUCUUAUGUCCUGCUGAUGCAGAUCUUUUCAGCUGGGGAAAACUUAGGAACCCUUCAUCACCUCCAUUCCAUACUAAAAAAGAUGGAAAGGUUUGAUGUGAUAAAGGUUCUGGACGAUUGGGUUUUGAAUAAUUCUUAAAAUAACUGCAGCUCACUGAGGCCAUCAGUGCUGUUGAAGUCAGACCAAGAUUGAUAGAUCAGUUCUGUUACUUGUAAGAAUUAUUACAAUUUACUAGUUCAGAGCCUGAAAAAAUGUGCCAUCCGGUCAUCUGGGAUGAACAGAUUUUCCUACUUGACAAGUGAUUUUCAUUCUCACUUGCCCACUGGAGAAGGGCCCAGGAAAGUCAUCAGCCAACUAAAUAAAAAAAAGUAAACUUAAGACUUGUCCAGGGCAAGCAAAAUUUGAGAGCUCCUUGUCUGAGCAGCUUUUUGUGUACUUGGUAGGUAGUUGUGGAGGGGACAGGUAAGGGGAGAGGUUAAUUUCCUGCAUCCUAUAUUUUUUACUCCAGGUUCCUGCCACACCUCUAGUGGUUCCCACCAGAUAGCACUCUUUCUGUUUUAAAAUAUUGCACAAUGUUAGCCUGCGAGCAGGCUCUCGUGCACUGUGGCACAAGCAGCGAAGCUGUUAGCACAUUGUUAGAGGCAGGGUCGUAACUGAUUUGUGUAGGGAAGUUGUUGAUUAAAAUAAAAACAUAGUAUUAUUGUAGCUAGUGUUCACAUUGUUAGGUUAAGAUAAAGUCUAUACAUGAGCCAAGUGGCCUGUCGUACCGUCACUUGUCUCCUGUGACUGUAGCGUGAAGCGACUAGGAGUAUUUCUACUCCUCCCUGGAUGGGAUGCU